AUGGUUUGGUGUAAUAAUAAUAAAAAUAAAAAUAAAAAAUCUGUUCUUAUCAGUUUAAUAUUUGAUACGUGCCCUACCCGGGCACCAUGUAUUAAAUUGCUUUUUGGAACUGGGAGAUGGAAUAGGGGCUUGCUCCGUCCACUCCAUGCAUCGACCCGGUAUUGCAGUACUUCUGGGAACGGUGCACCCCCC